AACCAUCUCCACUCGUCUACUGGCUGGAAUUAUUUUUGUACUCUCAGCAAUAUAUGCAAUUGCGGUGUGUGCUAUCUUAAAGGGUGUAAGCGAUCUCGGGGUUGAUUCGUACUUUGUGGCUCUGCUGGCAUGGGUGCUGCUGAUCUUGGUACUGGGUUUCUUUGUCCAUGUGCUGGACAAUGUAAUUGACACUGUGUACGUGUGCUAUGCCAUAGAUAGGGACAGAGGUGAGGUUUGUAAACAGGAAGUUCAUGAGGUUUACGUUCACUUACCGAUUAGUCGAAACCAUAGACCAUCAUCUUUCAUCUCCAGAACUCUGGGUGUAUAAAUUAUCCUUGGAUUUCAAUCUUGUUUUGUUGAUUUGUUCCGUGUAUCAAGUUAGAAUUGCCUGCCCGAAAAUUGUGCAUACCUUUGAGUGUUGCCUUGUACAAU